CGGCUUUGACCUAAUGGCAUCCGUUUGCUAGAAUCUGAAUAGUUGAGAACAAAGUGGCAAACAGGUGCAUAACGCAUGGGAAUCUGCCGAAUAGUUCAGGCCAAAUCCUGAAGAAAGCUCAAAGUGCCGUUUGAUGAGCCUUCACAGUAUUAGUUAGUUUGUUAGGUAAAGGCUGGCCAAGCCAAUUAUGCUUAGCUGGUCUUUUUGGAUGAUCAGCCACACUGUGACUGAGACACAGCCCGGACUCCCAUGAAGGUCAAUGCGGCUUGUAAAGCUCUUAUGUCAAGUACGCGAUCAUGAUAGAACUUGAGGAAGAAACCCUGGCUAACUCCGUGCCAGCAGCCGCCAUAAGAGGGAGGGGGGAG
rnacentral:ncRNA from 1 species